UGAACGCAUGCGUUUUCAAUCUUGGUUAGCUUUCGCUGUGGCCAAGGUCCGUGUGUUAUGUUAUGGCAAGAAAACAAUUUUGUAUUAUAAUUCUGUGCGCGCUCGUAGUAACACAAGCUGGUCCCACUGGAAUGCAUUCAUUUAAGCCACUGGACAUCAAACAGUUCUACAAUACAAGACACCCAAUAUGGAGUUUGCAGACAACGGAGAGAACAAUAUACACCUGUAAAGUAGAUGUGCCAGUGAGAAUAAUGAGAUCUUCCGUUCUUUUUCACAGACUUUAUUACUGGCAUAUUGCUACAGUCAACAACAGCAUGGAAGGAUGGUUCCAGGUGUCGGAAGAUGCAGGAAGGAAGAGUGUGCCCUUCAAUGCCAUGAUGGUCCGCGUUUCAAAGAUCAUUUUCACUGAGACCGAUCGACUCCUGUAUGAAAGCAAUGACGGCAAAUGUGGAGUGUUCUUGGUAUCUUCCAUAAAUGGCUAUAAACAUCAGGAGCUGCGAGUGUGGAAUAGUUCUGUUAACCACGUGGAUAAGAAGUGUCUUGAUCAUUUUCAACAUGCUGCUUUUAGGACACGACGGCUAACCAAAGUGCUAUACAAGGACACAUGCCAAUCAAUAGUACGACCAAAAUAAAUUCCCGAACCUAAUAUCACUUGCAGCUCUCUAACAGCCAGAAGUUGCAUGGCUCAGGUGUCCACAGUCUCCUUCGAGAUGUGCUGAACAAAAGUGCAGCAUGCAAUUUUGUAUUAUAAAAUUUGGAGGAUGCUUAAGCUUCGCUUUUAAGAUUUAAACGCGAUAGCAUUCAAAGAUCCCUGACUGCUUCUCACGCUUCCCGGAAAAGCGUAUGUAAUUGUAAUAUUUGACGGCAAACGCUCGCGGCGUACGCAAUGCGCGAAGGCAGGCUUUCUUGUCCAAGCGUGGCAGGGGCCUCAGUUACAAAGCUCGCGUAAAGGAAUACUUUGUGCUUUGCAUAGCCAUAAGCCUGUUUUAAGAGAAAAUAGUUGACGGAAUGAUUUCGCACAAUGCCUACAAUCUGUAAAAAAUCUCGGCAAAAAAAAAAAAAGAAGCACGAUGAACUCACACAAACAAAUUUCCUUACCCCCUAUGUGAACUUUGCUUUUGUACGUCUCCGUUUACCUAAACGGCACCCGAGGGUCUCAAUUUUUGUCAAUCAUGACCACAUAAGGCCCAUAGACAAUGAAGCCACAGGAAAAAUUUGCUGGUACAUACACACACA